UCCUCGGUAGCUCAGCGGUAGAGCUGUCGGCUCUUACCCGACUGGACGCUGGUUCGAGCCCAGCCCGAGGAG
rnacentral:tRNA from 2 species